GGGUGCGGUNCGGGGGGGGGGGACACCCCGCAUAACAAUCUCCUCUGGGCGUGACUAUGAGGGCCCCCACCCCACAGAGUAAAUGUUUGAUGCAGGGAGUAAGUGCGAAUCCCCUCCCCACCACACUCGAGCGCAACUGAAGCUGACACUGAGUCAGGUUAGUACGUCACCCUCCGCCACAUCUCAGCACACAGUGGAUCAGAUACCGCAUCUCGAGUGCAACUAAAGCCGACAUUGAGUCAGGCUCGAACCUGCAUCGCAUGGGACGGAUGCCACAGCCUAUUCCAUUGGGCUACCACUGCAGUGGUCAGUAUUCACAAGGUUUGGGUGGAAGUCAGAAUCUGGUUCAAUGCAUUCCUCCGGCAUGUACUUCGAGGCUUCAUUAACAGCUGAAAUAAGAAAGAAGAGGUGUAUAGCAAAUUGGCCAAGCAGGGAGAGGAAGAGAUAAGCACAAAAGAUGUUGGGAUGGGGCCUAGCAGCAGAUAGUGUCUGCAGAGGGCGAGCAUGGGAGAUGAAAAGGAAGAAAGCAGCAGCAAAGACCCCACUGAUGGUAGCCUGGAUAUCUUCUAGCUUGACACCGUCCAGGUACAUGACGCUCCAGACAUAAGCGGUUGCAAGGCAGUUCCGGCCAAGAAUCUUGAACAUCUGGAGUGUUGUCACAAGGGUACUCCGACCUUGACGAAUGAUAUGGAGGGUGGGGGCAACUGAGGCAUGAAUAAGAAUUUAUGAUCGUAUAUGACUCCUAUAUAAUUCUAUGUAUACAAAUUUAUGAUCGUAGAUAUGAAUAAGAAUUUGUCAUUCCAAAGUCGAGUCA